rnacentral:rRNA from 1 species
UACAGAGGGUGCGAGCGUUAAUCGGAAUUACUGGGCGUAAAGCGCGCGUAGGCGGCUUUGUAAGUCGGAUGUGAAAUCCCCGGGCUUAACCUGGGAACUGCAUUCGAGACUGCAUAGCUAGAGUAUGGGAGAGGGAAGUGGAAUUUCAGGUGUAGCGGUGAAAUGCGUAGAUAUGUGGAGGAACACCGAUGGCGAAGGCAGCCCCCUGGGUUAACACUGACGCUCAUGCACGAAAGCGUGGGGAGCAAACAGG